GCCAGGCGUGGUGGCGGGCGCCUGUAAUCCCAGCUUCUAGGGAGGCUGAGGCAGGAGAAUCGCUUGAACCCAGGAGGCAGAGGUUGCAGUGAGCCGAGAUCAUGCCACUGCACUCCAGCCUGGGCAACACAGCAAGACUCUGUCUCAA
rnacentral:SRP_RNA from 1 species